CUAACAGCGGCAUAGAGGAGAGGGUUAAACACACGCAUAGAGGAGGCCCUCCCGCUGAGUCGCGAGGCUCAGAAGGUGCUCAGUUGUGCCCCAGCUGUUGAAGCAGGGCUCUGCUAUCAGUUCUUUCAGUCCCCAUUUUGAGACAGAUUUAUGGCGGUUAAUCUGUUACCUGUUGUCUUGUGCGUUGUGUUCCUGUGCAGGGCCUUGUGAGCAAGGCCAGGCUGAAGAAGGGAGCUGAGGGAAGAAGCUGGAGGUGGGGUAAGAGGGGGUGGAGGGAUGAGCAGGAUGUGUCUCUCCCCAUCCACACUACAGUCACUCACGUUUUCAUCAGCCAUAGCAGGUGGGGAAGGCAGUCACACUGGUGCUAUCCCAGUGACAUUCACUUCCAUUUGUAUAUUUAAGUGUGCUUCAUUUCCGUGCUUGACCACGGAUGAGAGACCUGAGUUUUUGUUGUUAGAAUUUGUGGCAAGUGAUGCCUCACUGGAGGCAUUAGAACAGGCAGUAGACUCAUUGACUGCUCACCUAGAAGAAAAAUGGUGGGCUGUGAAUCCACAAAGGUGCAAGGAACAGGUUUGUUGGUAAAAUUCCUGGGUGUAAUUUGGUCAGUGCAAUAACAGACGAAAUUCAGGCGUUCCCAGUCCUUACCGGGCCAUGGCAGCUGCAGGAAUUUUGGAGUAUAUUGAGAUUCUUUCGUUCCUUUAUACCCUGCCUAGCACAGCUCCUGCAGCCUUUGUUUCUGCUCAGAAAGAAAGGCCAGGAAUGGGAGUGGGGUAGAACGGAAGAAGAGGCAUUCCAGCAAGCAAAACCAGCUGUUAUACAGGCCAAGGCACUUGUUAUAUUUGGUCCCACCCUUCCUGCUGAACCAGACACAUGCAACUCAAAAUGGGUUUGGCUAGCAUCUAUGGCUGUGCCAAAAUUCCGCUUGAACCCCAGUUGGGUUCUGGUCUGAAGUUUGGCACUUAGCAGGAGAAAGGUACAGUGUGAUUGAAAAACAGUUAUUGGCUGCUUAUUCUGCAUGACAGGUGGUAGAGCCAAUAACUCAAACAUCUCGAGUCAUAGUUAAGACCACCCUGUCUUUCUGUCAUUACAGGCAUCAUGUGCUGGCCACGUGGGCACAGCGUUCAAGUAGAAAGAACCCUGCAGACGCUAUCAGAAGUGUUGAGGGAGAGAGAAGUGCCCUUUGAAGCAUUUGACACCCUGCUGGCAGUGCCUAUCGCAUCCAACACCAGCAUGGUCCUUCUUUCUCCUUUUCAGCGGUUUGGCCUCUCCCAGCAGUUGUUAAGUAAUAAUGUACUAGCUGAGGGAGUUUCUGCUUCUCGCUUACUGGGACUAUCUGCAGUGGAUGCCCGUGUGUGUGUGAGGGUAUUGCAAUCCUGGAAGCGAUGUUCGGGUUACCCUGGCUAAUUCAACCGGACCAGAUAUGCUGUGUACUGCAACCCUGUCAAACCCAAUUCCUGACCUGCCUGGUUGGAGUACCACUGACUGAAAAUGACUCUCGCGUACUCCAGAACAGCUUGAAUGGCAAGAACAGAUGGCUUUCCUGCCAUGCACUGGGGAGACUCCAGUUCUUGCUCCUGAGGAUCUCUGGAUCCUGGUGACACUAUACACUGACUAGUUACCAACUUGAUGCCUAACAUAAGCUGUUGGCACACCGCCAGCUGCCCAAGAGGUGGAGCCCCAACUACAGCUGCCUACUCAACAAAAUUGAGUUAUUUGAAUGACUCAUGUGGUGUAAUCAUGCUGCAACUCAUGUAUCAAUGGGCUGUAACACCCCAAUGUCCCCGCCAAAGGGCAGAUGUUUUAUCUGUGGGAACCAGGUUUGGGCAGUCGUACCUGCUGGGGCCCUGGGAGGGCCGUGUACCAGUGAAUGACUCAUUGUCUUUAUACCCAAAAUCACCAUGGUGAUUACACGGCAGUGGAAAAAAACACAGACUCAGUGACCCACGUAGGAAUUUCACUCUUUCUUGCUGGUAAGUUUGAGCUUACAGCUGCACCUGCUGCCCAAACCAUUGCCAUGGCUGCCUUGGCGCUUCAGGCUCGGGUGUGGCUGCAGCAUUAACACAAUUGAAUAGGUUAGCUUGCUGGUUUAGUAAAUUUAGCAGUGCUGCUUCAUUUGCUAUUUGGAAACUCUCGUAGAUGUAGACAGUGUUAAGACCACCUCACUUCAGAAUGGUGCAGCUGUUGAUUUCCCACUGCUCACCCAUGGCCAUGGAUGCCAGGACUUUGAUGGGCUCUGCUGCAUGAAACUUUUGGACCAUUCCUAAUCCACCCAAAGCCACCUAGAUGAAUUAAGGGAUCUUGCUGAUCAGCUGCAGGAGUCCUUGGGAUGGAAUCCUUUUUCAGCCUGGGACUGGGGAUGAGGACUGCAGAAAAAGAUAAUACAGAUAGACUGUAUUUGGACCUGUAUUUCCUCACUCUUCUGUGCAAUAUUUCAGGCUUCUUACAACUUGUACAACAAGCUAUGCAAAGUGCUUUUUGUGGACUUGUAGUAAAAGUAGUGCAGUAACACUGUGUUCCAAACCAGAAACAUGCAGUGGCAUGUGUCGGGGAUCUGAAGGUUCUGACCAAAGAAUGCUCCUGAGUUGGAACAAAGGAUUCUGGGAAAGUGAUUACAGCUGACUUAGCUUGUUUUGCAAGAAGCUGACCUUGUUUUGCAGGAAGUUGCUCUGCUGUGCCUCUGUAUCUUACGCUGGCCACGCAGCUGCAGUGUGCGAGUAACAAAACCCUGCAGACACUGGGAGAGAAUAAAAACAGGAGGGAGGUUGUGGUCGAUCCCGAGAGGACAAGUGCACCUUGAAACGGGGAUGCACCAUGGGCCAUACCUAGUGAAACCACCACGGGCAUGUUCCAUCUCAUCCUCCUGCUCAGCACUUUGUCCAUCUCUAGAAGGUCGGUUAAGUCAUAUUUACUUGCUUGGGGAACUUCUGCUUGCUGCACAUAGAGUUAUCUAAGUGUAUGAAAGUGUGCGUGUGUCAAAUAAAACUCAUGAUUCUCAGA